rnacentral:lncRNA from 13 species
GAAGUAUGUUGACAAGGGGAGUCGAGAGUGGUCCGUGACCGUUGCUGAGCUCAGGUUGGUGAAGAUAAUUCAACAUGUGAAUGCUCUGCUAGAAAAUGGGAGAAGUACCCAGCUCCAUCUCUUUCCCUCAAAAAGGCGCUGUGCUGCUCUGCACCCAUACUGCUCAACUCCUUCCAAUUCACCCCCCGUGACAGACUGCGGAUCAAGCCUGAUCUAUCCACCCAAACUGCCUGUCCUCAAAACUAAAGAUGAGACACUUGGUCAUUGCAUAAUCUCUCUGCAGCACUUAUUCUCUUUGGAGACAUUUGGUUUGUUUUACGAACACUUUGUUCAAAGGAUUACUUGAGCAAAGAUCUUAAAUAUUUACUCAAAACUGUAGCUGAUUCUCUGCAAAUAUAAAUCUUGCAUAACUUUAUGAAGUGAGAUGAAAUAUAUCCUUUUUACUCUGUUUUGCUUCAGGAUGAGGACUGCCUCUCUCUUGUUCAUAACAGAGCUACUAUGUGAGAUUCCAUUUUUAUGAUGUGCAGGGGCAAUUCCAUGGGAACGGAUUUGCGCUGAGAAUCAGAUUUUUCACUAAUGUACGCCAAACAAAACCCCUUGAUUUCAAAGUUGAACAAGCUCUUUGCACAAUGACUCCAUUUAGCAAUUUAGACUGAAAAAUGUACUAAAAAACAUUUACUGGAAGAACUUUGCCGUGCAAAUCUCCCUCAGUUUUUUGUUACCAC